rnacentral:rRNA from 1 species
GAUGAACGCUGGCGGCGUGCUUAACACAUGCAAGUCGAACGGAAAGGCCCAAGCUUGCUUGGGUACUCGAGUGGCGAACGGGUGAGUAACACGUGGGUGAUCUGCCCUGCACUUCGGGAUAAGCCUGGGAAACUGGGUCUAAUACCGGAUAGGACCACAUUUUGGAUGGUGUGGUGGAAAGUUUUUCGGUGUGGGAUGAGCUCGCGGCCUAUCAGCUUGUUGGGGGGGUAAUGGCCUACCAAGGCGUCGGCGGGUAGCCGGCCAGUGGGGGUGUACGGCCACAUUGGGUCCUAGGGGCGGCACAGGCGCCUAAGGGAGGCAGCAGUGGGGAAUAUUGCACCAUGGGCGCAGGGCGGGUGAAGCGACGCCGCGUGGGGGAUGACGGCCUUCGGGUUGAAGACUCCCUUCGCGAGGGACGAAGCGUUAUGUGACGGUACCUGGAGAAGAAGCACCGGCUAACUACGUG